UACAUGGGGUGCAAACGUUGCUCGGAAUUAUUGGGCGUAAAGGGCGCGUAGGCGGCCUGGCAAGUGGAAGGUGAAAUCCCUCGGCUUAACCGAGGAACUGCCUCCCAAACUGCUUGGCUCGAGACCGGGAGAGGUGAGUGGAAUUCCCAGUGUAGCGGUGAAAUGUGUAGAGAUCGGGAGGAACACCUGCGGCGAAGGCGGGUUGCUGGGCUGACACUGACGCUGAUGCGCGAAAGCCAGGGGAGCGAACGGG
rnacentral:rRNA from 1 species